GCUCCCUCCCAGGGUUAGGCCACCCACGGUCACCUCCAUGAGGUCCUUGGCCACCCCAUUGUCCCCAGUGGUGCAGAGCUGACGGGACCUUUGGCACCACCUGUCCUUCCCUGGCAGCACACAAGGUCGGGUGUAUGUCUGAACAGAUAUUCUGAGGGUGUUUUUUUCAUUCAUAGGAAGUGGAAAAUAAAUUUAAAAGAAAGAAAAAAAAAGGAGCGAGAGAAGAAGGGGGAAGGGGAGCGGAGAAAAAAAAAUCUGACAACAGCAGAAGUAUUUCUGAAUCGAACCAUCUUCAAAAAUUGCUCUUCACAAGGGUUUCUAAAUAUACUGGCAGAGCAGCGAGGCUGUGGUGUGUGCAUGAGUCACGGCAGACCUCCUGCACCCGGCACGGCAUCACAGAGACAACCCCGGAGAGAAACCACUGCCAGGGUCACAGAGCCCUGGGCUCCAGAUUCCUGACUCUUAAAGCUGAACAAAGGAGCUUUGAAAUGGAACUACAAGCUGGAGUCCACAGGCCCAGUGUGUUUGUCCUCCCUGGGACCUCCUCUCUCUCCAUUCCCUGCUUCUCCAGGCAGGUCCCAUCCCUUGGAUCUUUGCAAACGUGACGCCUGCAUGAGGAUUUCCCACUCCCUUCUGGGAGGAUGAAGGCCAAGAAGCAGGGUGGGAGUUGGGAUUCUUCAUCUCCAUCAACGCGCAGCCAAAUUUCUGCAGAAAGGGA